ACCGCCCGGCCCGAGCGGGCCCCGGCGGGGCAGGGCUGCAGCUUCGCCCCGCGCCCCGCCCGUGCGGAUUUUUAGGUAACUUCUUGCAGGAUUUUAGUCGGCACCUGUAGCUCUCACUGGCGAGCCCACGUUUUUUGCACCCUCAAGUUAUUAAAGAAGCUUUUUCCGUCUUGAAGUUUGUACUUCAGAUAUUCAGGUCAGAAUGAACUAAAGGCACUUCAGCAGAAUGUUCUUCACGGGUGUAUGACCUCCCUUAUUACUCUGCUAUUAAAACUGAGGCAAAAAGCUGUAACAUUCCAAGUAAAUUGUCCUCACAGCCAAGUCUUGCACAUUUCCUGGUGAUCCCUGACAUCCCAGAAGCACUUUCUCCAAGUUCUCUGGGCAUUCUUAAAGCUGCUGCUGUUCAGCUGAUGCCUGCGAGGAGGCUGACACUGACUUAAUUUCAGAUUUUCAAAGACUGUUUUCCUACAGUUCUGUAUGGAACUCCUCAAUUUCCCUGGAGUGUGGGAUAUGCCCUUUAUCCUUCCAACUGAUAACAGCUACUUUAAGCUUCAUCACAUGCGUGCAAGAGGACAAAAAGACUUCACUACCUACAGUCUCUGCAUGUUAAGUAAAUGUCUUUACCUUUCUGAAGGAGUCUGGAACAGGCAUCCAGGAGAGCUCCAGCAAUGACAACAACAGAGGUUGUGCCAUCACCAGCUUCAAUAUCUUGUGCUUUUGAGAGCUCUACCAACUGAAGGAGAAAUUAUGACAAAAAUUUAUAAUAAACAGAGUGCUGCUUACCCA